rnacentral:rRNA from 1 species
GUUUGACUGGGGCGGUCGCCUCCCAAAAGGUAACGGAGGUGUGCAAAGGUUUCCUCAGAUUGGUCAGAAAUCAAUCGUAGAGUGUAAAGGCAUAAGGAAGCUUGAUUGCGAGACCUACAAGUCGAACAAAGACGAAAGUCGGUCUUAGUGAUCCGACGGUUCCGAGUGGAAGGGCCGUCACUCAACGGAUAAAAGUUACUCUAGGGAUAACAGGCUGAAAUCAA